AUUGAUCACUUGCUUUCUCUCCAAGAAACUCAGCCUGAUUAUUAUACAGACGUCACUCUUAAAGGAAUCAUAGUUGUAAGUAUUGACUAAGCCUAAUAUUAUAUAAUCAAGCUUUAUAGUGUGGCUGAGAAUGAAUUUGAAUGUUACAGGUUAUGAUAAUUGCUGGAUCUGAGACUAUAGCAUGGACUUUAGAAUGGGCGAUGAUGAAUUUGUUGAACCAUCCAGAAGUAUUAAAGAAAGCUAGGACCGAAAUCGAUUCGAAAAUCGGUUUCGACCGGUUAAUAGAUGAAUCGGAUACUACAAAUCUCCCUUAUCUCCAACGUAUCGUGUUGGAGACUCUACGUCUUCACCCGGCAGCUCCAACAAAUGUUCCACAUAUGACCUCAGAUGAUUGCAAGUUGGGAGGAUACGUUUGUUCGGAUUCUUUUCUUUUUCGAAUGAGGCUAGUGGAGACAAAUUCCUUCCGACGUUCCACGUGGUACGAUGUUAUUGGUGAACAUAUGGGCCAUACAUAGAGACCCGUCUAUAUGGGAAGAUCCAGAUAUGUUCAAGCCAGAGAGGUUUGAAAAUGAAAAGCAAAAGCAAAAGUUGUUGUCGUUUGGGAUUGGAAGACGAUCUUGUCCCGGGAAUGGCCUAGCUCAUCGGCUAGUGAGCUUGGCUCUUGGAUCGAUGGUUCAGUGUUUCGAAUGGCAGAGAAUUGGGGAUGAAUAUGUUGACAUUAGAGAAGAAGAAGUCGUGGCCUUGAUGCGUCCAGCGACACCGUUGCUAGCUAUGUGUAAAGCUCGUCCCUUUGUCCAUAAGAUUCUUGAUGCUUAAGUGUAACUUGCCUUUAUUUGUCCUUUGGGAAAAUUAAAAACGAGACAAGACUGUCGUGUACUUUAAAGUUUCAUAUGUACUCUUACAUGUGUUAACACAUGGUUUUUAAGGAUAAGUUCUUUCUUUGGAACACAAUUCUCAUUUUUUGGUGUCAAAUCACAAUACUCGAGUUUUAGAUUGCCGACAUUGUUUUCGUCGACUGGUUAACAUGGCAUCAGAACCAACGAAAUCAAAUAAACCAGAGUCAGUAAACAUAGUUAGCGAGAUCUGGUGUUUGUAGUGAUGGUGCAUGGUUGGUGACAGUGGGUGGUUUGGUGUUAAAGACAGUGAUGAUGGGUCAUUUACUUAACAAAUAACAACAGAGAAGAAAAAAUAGUUAAGUUAUUCAAGUCAUUUUGCAUGUCUCUCCAUUGGUACAAUAUUGGAAGGUCAUUUAUGUACUAUAAUUUAAUUUUUAUUUCAAGGUUAUUUUGUGUAUCUAUUCUAAUUAUUUAUGUUGAUUUGUAUACUACACGUGUUUGGUUGCAUGAGACGUGAACAUAUCUUUAGUGACUGAUGGGAUAAAUUCCAUGACAAUACCAAACUUUUAACGUCUUUUUUGCAUGCUCUUGUUUACGUUAUAAAUUUAAGCUAUAAACUUAAACUUUUAACUUUAGUGUUCAUUUCAACACAAAACAAAAUUCGUAGUUAUAUCCGUUACUCUAUCUCUGGCUAUAUUGAUUUAUUAUUAAUGUUGAUAUAUUACACUUGUUUGGUUGCAUGAGACGUGAACAUAUCUUUAGUGACGGAUGGGAUAAAUUCCAUGAAAAUGCCAAAAUUUGAACGUCUUUUUUGCAUGAUCUUGUUUACGUUAUAAACUUUAGCUAUAGCUUUUUGAACUUUAGUGUUCAUUUCAACACAAAACAAAUUCGUAGUUAGAUCCGUUACUCUAUAGCUGGCUAUGUUUAUAAUUUCCAUGCAUGUGACAGUACCAAAAUUGUAACGUCUUUUUUUUUUUUUGCAUGCUCUCUCUUAUAUUAUAAACUAAGCUAUAUAUAUAACUUUUUUUUUAACUUUAGUGUUUAUUUCAACACAAACAAAUUCGUAGUUAGAUCAUUUACUCAAUAUAUAGUUAGCUAUAUAAUUUAUUAUUAAUGUUGAUAUCUUACACUUGUUUGGUUGCAUGAGACGAGAACAUAUCUUUAGUGACGGAUGGGAUAAAUUCCAUGAGUCAUGCUUUAAUCAUGGACCAUGAUAAUAUCUUGAAUCAUGGAUGGAUGGACCAUGACAAUACCAAAACUGUAACGUCUUUUUUAUGCAUGUUCUUGCUUACGUUAUAAAUUAAGCUGUAACUUUUAACUCCAGGAUUCAUUUCACACAUAUUCGUCAUGGAAACUCAUUUCCUAGUUUUGUCUCUCGCCUUCUUCGUUUUCAUUGCUCUUAAACUUUUGUAUGGUAAACGAAAGAGCAAAUUUAACCUACCACCAAGUCCGGCUAGGCCACUACCGUUCAUUGGGCACCUUCACCUCCUAAAAAUGCCGCUUCACCGCACACUCCUCUCUCUCUCUCAGUCCCUAGGUGACGCCCCAAUCUUCUCCCUCCGCCCCGGAAACCGUCUCAUGGUUAUCGUCUCUUCCUACGCCAUCGCUGAAGAAUGCUUUACAAAAAACGACAUUGUUUUGGCCAAUAGGCCAGAGUUUAUUGUAAGGAAACAUAUUGAGUACAACUCCACCACUAUGACUAGUGCGCCUUAUGGUGACCACUGGCGAAACCUGCGCCGCAUCUGCACCCUUGAGAUCUUCUCGUCACAUAAGCUCAACGGCUUCUUAUCUGUCCGUCACGAUGAGACCCGACACUUGUUACUACGCCUCUCCAAAAACUCCCAACAUGUAUGUCAGCUUCUACAUAUAUAUCUUAACAUUAUAUAUAUCCAAAUAAGCUAGUAACCUAGGGAUUUGUAGUAUUGUCCACUCUAUCAUGACAUGGGUACGUAGUAGUAUGAAAAUGAAAAUCUGAGAGUUGACCAUUUGUUUAUGUGACUAUAAUCAGGGAUUUGCAAAGGUGGAGAUGAGAAAUUUGCUUUUUGAGUUGACUAUAAAUAACAUUUUUAGAAUGAUAGCCGGGAAACGAUUUUAUGGUGAGGGCACUGAGCAAGACGAGGUUGCUUCGCAAGUGAGAGACCUACUAGACGAGAUUAUGGCUAGUGCUGGCGCCGGGAAUGCAGCUGAUUACUUACCAAUCUUGGGAUGGAUCACAAAUUUUGAGAAACGCAUCAAGAAGUUAGCGAGUCGGCUUGAUAAGUUCUUACAGAGUCUUGUGGAUGAGAAACGUGCUGAUAAAGAAAAGGGUAACACUAUGAUUGAUCACUUGCUUUCUCUCCAAGAAACGCAACCUGAUUAUUACACAGACGUCAUUAUUAAAGGAAUCAUAGUUGUAAGUAUUUAGUAACCCUAAUAAUAUACUAAUCAAUCUUUAUGGUGGUUGAUGAUAACAUUUUGAACUUACAGGUUAUGAUAUUCGCUGGAUCUGAGACAAUAGCAUGGACUUUAGAAUGGGCAAUGUUGAAUUUGUUGAACCAUCAAGAAAUAUUGGAGAAAGCUAGG
rnacentral:lncRNA from 1 species